AUGGAUGGAUACCGUCACAACUCAGAUCCAGGAUGCAGUGAUCUGUGACUUAAACUGACUGGGACAAGUUUAACUGCUGAAUUUACAUAUUAAUGCUGCACCUGAAAAGGAGGGUGGAGGCAAAAGAAAGGAGAGAGUAAACAGAAGAGAACAACACAGCCUCAGCUGAAACAGAAAACCAUCUGCAACAACAAAAACAAAGCUGACAAUCAUCUGGAGCACCUAUAACAAGACAGACAAGCUGG